UGGAAAGUUUCACUUCAUCUUGACAAUAUCCUCAGGCCUCAUCUCUACAAACAACCAAACUUUGUUAGAAGCAUGAAAGAAAAAAAUAUGAAAAGUGGAUGACUAUAGUACUCACCUUGGGGUCAGCCUGAUUGAGUCCAGUGUUAAAAAGGACUUUAUCGGAUAACAACUCAUCGACUGAGGGAGCUUUGAAGUCUGAG
rnacentral:lncRNA from 1 species